CUCUAUCCUCCUUCUCUUUCUCUCUCCUCCUUCUAUCUCUCUUCUCUGUUCGCCUUCUUUCUCCUUCUUGGCCAUCAGUUUCCUUCGAUCUCAUCUCCUUCUCUUUCUCUUUCGUUCUUCCCAGAUUAUCCUCCCCUUCUCACUCGUUUCCACCACCAAAGGCCACCAUCGAAGAGGCGAAGACCACCACCAAGACCAACACCCAAGACCACCAAGAACACCGAUUCUAGGUAUGUUAUUUAGAUCUGAAAUCGAAGAAGCAAGAUACAAGAAUGAAUGGGGUUUUUGUUUUUGUUUUUUUUUUAUUUAUAUUGUAAUUUUUUUUUAAAUUUAUAUUGUAAUUUUUUUUGUAUUUAUAUGUUGUAAUCGAAGUAUUUAUAUGUUGUAAUUUUUUUUUGAUUAUGUAUUGCAAAUUUUCGAUGAUAUUGAUGUUGUUUUAAUCGAUAUUCGCUUUAUGUUA